CUGGGUGUUCCGCAGAUGGUUAUACGGGCUUGCUUUGGGAGCAUGAUUUCAUUGGUUCGAAUCCAAUCACUCAGA
rnacentral:tRNA from 1 species